rnacentral:rRNA from 1 species
AUGGGUACGGUUGGCGCUUGGAGGCGAGCACAGGAUGGUUCCGUCACUACCGGUGAAGCCGUCGUGGACUUGGAUGGAUCCCCCAUCGCCGGUGGCGGCGGCGGCCAGCACGAGGCCUCGAUCACCGCGGGCACACGGGCCUCGCCCAUUGACGUCGAAGCGCUAGGCGACGAGGGGAGGUCGAGAGCUAAGAUAAGGCGCCGUGUGGAUGUUGUGGAUCUGGAGGCGGAUGAUGAUCACGAAGGUUGUGGUGAUGCAAGAACAACAUUUAACCGUCUCAGUGGGAACAAAAGGCGGAAGGUCCCACCUGUUAUAUCCCUUUCUCCGGACAGGGAAGAAAGAUCCAGCAAUCAGCGAAACAGCACGGUCCGAGUCAGUAGACUAAGUGCCAAUGCUGCUCCAAAGGAACCGACGUUCACUUGCCCAGUGUGCCUGAACAAGAUGGAGCUGCCGUCCGCGACGAGCUGUGGCCAUGUCUUCUGUGAGAAGUGCAUCAAGGCGGCCAUCAAGGCCCAGAAGAAAUGCCCUACUUGUAGGAAGAGGCUAGGGCCGAAGAGCCACCGCCGAGUUUACCUCCCUGCAACUGCUGAUCAAGUCUGA